rnacentral:rRNA from 1 species
UACGAAGGGUGCAAACGUUGCUCGGAAUUAUUGGGCGUAAAGCGCACGUAGGCGGCUCUAUAAGUCGGAUGUGAAAUCCCUCGGCUUAACCGAGGACGUGCAUCCGAAACUGUGGAGCUUGAGUAUGGAAGAGGGUCGCAGAAUUCCCGGUGUAGAGGUGAAAUUCGUAGAUAUCGGGAGGAAUACCAGUGGCGAAGGCGGCUCGCUGGCUUCUUGCUGACGCUGAGAUGCGAAAGCGUGGGGAGCAAACAGG